rnacentral:rRNA from 1 species
UGCCAGACUCCUACGGGAGGCAGCAGUGGGGAAUAUUGCACAAUGGGGGAAACCCUGAUGCAGCGACGCCGCGUGAGUGAAGAAGUAAUUCGUUAUGUAAAGCUCUAUCAGCAGGGAAGAAAAUGACGGUACCUGAGUAAGAAGCCCCGGCUAACUACGUGCCAGCAGCCGCGGUAAUACGUAGGGGGCAAGCGUUAUCCGGAUUUACUGGGUGUAAAGGGAGCGUAGGCGGCCACGCAAGUCAGAAGUGAAGACCCGGGGCUCAACCCUGGGAGUGCUUUUGAAACUGUGCGGCUAGAGUGUAGGAGGGGUAAGUGGAAUUCCUAGUGUAGCGGUGAAAUGCGUAGAUAUUAGGAGGAACACCAGUGGCGAAGGCGGCUUACUGGACGAUGACUGACGCUGAGGCUCGAAAGCGUGGGGAGCAAACAGGAUUAGAUACCCGCGUA